UAGCUCCUCCCAUUGUGGCUGAGUUCCCCAAAAACCUCACUGAUCUUACUUUGUCAGCCUCUCUUCUUCCAGAUGAUCCAAUGCCCGAGUUAGAGAAACUCUCUAACCUUAAGUUACUCUGUUUUUACUCCAACUCUUACACAGGUAACAAGAUGCUUUGCUCUGCGGGAGGCUUUCCACGACUAGUAGUGUUGAAGUUGUGGAACUAGAAAAACUUGAAGUUUGGCAUGUGGAGGAAAAGGCAAUGCAGAGUCUAAGAGAGCUUGAGAUAAGAUCCUGCACAAAUCUGAAGGUCCCAAGUGGGUUGAGGCACCUAAAGUCUCUGAUCGAAUUGAAGUUAACUAAUAUGCCAGAAGGAUUUACAGCAACCAUUGCGCAAACCAAGGCUCAACUUUGGGAUGACCUUAAGCAUUCCCCAGCAAUCACUGCAGUUAACUGGCACCCCAUGCCGAGGAAAUCAUAGGCUUCCACUCAUCUACGCAUGGGAAUUAGAAAGCUAUGUUCUGUGAGCUGUUAGAUUUAAAGGAUGCAGUGGAGAACUUAUGUGGAAAUAUAUAUAUGCGAACAAAGUACUUGGCUUUUUUGAGAUUUGGAAUGCCGCAACGGCCUUUACCGUGCCUGAAAUGCUUAUCUGAAGUGCUGAUAUAUUUUCUUGAGUAGUUUUUAAUUUAUGACUAUUAUAUAAACUUAGUUUUUGAAAAAAAUUGAUCGACCUAUGGAAGCAUGCACCUG